GUUUUCUUCUUCAUAUGAAAAAUAUUUAUAUUUUUAAUUAUCAGAAGAUGAACCCAAAUAAUUAUGAAAUAAUUCUGGGAAUCAACAAUCAACACCACCACUGGACUUUAGUGGUAAUAAAAGUUUCUAAAACUUUAAAAACAACCUACAUCAUUCUUAUAUCAUGGACACAAAUCACAUGAAACCUGUCAAAUGCUAACUUUAUAGGUGAUCUACCCACAAGAGAAAAAGUCUUUGUUCUUGAAUCCACUGGAGGAAUCAAAACAAGAGAUCCAGAAAUGUUUGCAAAUCACAAGAGCAUUUAUGAGGAAGAAGGUGUACAAUGUCUCUCGUUGGACAUGUGACACAGUGAAGCAUCAAAACAACAGGACAGUACAUCAUGUGGUGUAUUUUCACUGAAGUUUGCAGAAAAAAUCGUAGCGGUCUACAGCAUGAGGUUGGACAUUGCUGUGAGACUUGUCCUUGCCAGUGGUAAUUAUAACAUUA